CCAAUAGCGUAUAUUAAAGUUGUUGCAGUUAAAAAGCUCGUAGUUGAAUUUCGGGAUCAAUUUGCUGGUCGUGCCUCUGGUACGUACUGGUAUUAUUGGUUUCUCCCUUCUGACGAACCAUGAUGUCAUUAAUUUGAUGUCGUGGAGAAUCAGGACUGUUACUUGGAAAAAAUUAGAGUGUUUAAAGCAGGCAUUAGCUUGAAUACAUUAGCAUGGAAUAAUGAAAUAGGACGUUUGAUCCUAUUUUGUUGGUUUCUAGGAUUGACGUAAUGAUUAAUAGGGAUAGUUGGGGGCAUUAGUAUUCAAUUGUCAGAGGUGAAAUUCUUGGAUUUAUUGAAGACUAACUACUGCGAAAGCAUUUGCCAAGGAUGUUUUCAUUAAUCAAGAACGAAAGUUAGGGGAUCGAAGACGAUCAGAUACCGUCGUAGUCUUAACCAUAAACUAUGCCGACUAGGGAUCGGAUGAUGUUAAUUUUUUAAUGACUCAUUCGGCGCCUUACG
rnacentral:rRNA from 1 species